GACGGAGGGUGCUAGCGUUGUUCGGAAUGACUGGGCGUAAAGGGCGCGUAGGCGGCUCGUGAAGUCGGGUGUGAAAGCCCGGGGCUCACCCCGGAACGGCAUCCGAUACUGGCGGGCUUGAGACCGGGAGAGGAGGGUGGAAUACCCAGUGUAGAGGUGAAAUUCGUAGAUAUUGGGUGGAACACCGGUGGCGAAAGCGGCUCUCUGGCCCGGAUCUGACGCUGAGGCGCGAAAGCGUGGGGAGCAAACAGGG
rnacentral:rRNA from 1 species